rnacentral:lncRNA from 1 species
ACGUCGGGAUCGGAACCGGCCCACCUCUCCUUCCCCAGAGGGGAUUUCACGAGCUCCGGUUUGCAGCCCGGCACCCCUCGGAGAGUCCCUCCAGGGUGCCUGAGUCGCGCCCAGCCUGUGCCUUCACAACUCGAUGCAGGGACCCGGGGAGGCGCGCGAGGACCGACCGGUCACCGCUCCAAUUACCUCAUCGCUUUAGCUCCCCGCCCCUUUCCCAAACCUGGAAGAACUGUCCCCUCCGGCCCCGGUCACCGCUCCCGCCCCGCGUCCCCCCCACCCCGACCCCCCCGCCAACCCCGAUCCCGAGCGGGUCUCGGGGAAACGCGCCCGCCUCCUCGGGGGGCUGCCGAGCCCCGGGAUGCGCGCACCCAAGGGUUAAGGGCGCCGGCCGGCGGCCGCGCCGGGCGCUCGCGGUGCUCAGAGCGGCUCGCCCCGCCGGAGGGUGGCCCCCCCAACCCCCCCCACCCCCACCGAAGUCGGAUCCUUGAGCUGCGGCGGCGGCAGCCAACUGCUCCAUAUUUGGCUUCUAUUACACAUUUACAUACUGGAGCGAGCGAGCGAGCGAGCGCGAGAGAGCGCGAGGGAGGGCGGGCGGAGGGAGGAGGGAGGGGAGGAGGGGGGAGGAGGAGGAGAGAGCAGAGUAUACCGCAGACAUCAUUUCUACUACAGUGGCGGAGCCGUACAGGACCUGUUUCACUGCAGGGGGAUCCAAAACAAGCCCUGUGGAGCAGCAGCCAGAGCUACCGCAGCCGCAAGACACUGUUUCUCUCCCUCUGCCCCCCCUUCCCCACGCAACCCCAGAUCCAUUUACACUUUACAGAGGAUCCGGCUGCAAAUCACCGAGGUGUUCCGUUCAAGCUGCAGAUUCGUCUGUCGUCUUUGGACAGCGGUCUCCUCCUCCACGGCUGCCUCGGGGGAGCCCGACACCCAUCAGCAGUCUGGAGCAAAAUGAAAGAGCUGAUGUCGAGGCCUCCCAAGUAG